UCGUUCGCCGAGAGCAAACACAAAUACAGCCAAUGGUCCGGGGGCGAUUGUGGCUGAGGAAAGGGACGCGGGGCGAAUAACGAAUGGGGCGCGGGGCAUGGGUGGCAAUGGGGCCAAUAACUAAAUCAGUUAAGAGAGCUGUUGGCGUCCGUCGGAGGUCGAGAGGCGGCUGCUCGCCAAGUGCUGCCCCCAAGCCCGCACAGCCCUCACUUUUCAAUGAUUCGCAUUUCUCUUGGUUCUUUUUUUCUUUUCUUUUCGUUUUGUACUUUUGCAUUUUGUUUUGGUAUCAUGGUUUAUUUCGUUUUUCCCUUGCUUGCGAAAUUAUUUAUGCAUUUUGCAUUUUGUUCUUUACGUCGAGCGUUUAUUAGUUGCAAUUUGCUUGCGGUAAAAGUUGUUCGCCAACAAGUCGAACAAAUUAAAUAAUUUAACACAAGGAAAGUUGCGAAUAUGGGUAAAAAUAAAGGCGGCGGCGGUGGAGGCGGUGGAGGAGGAGGAGGAGGAGGAGGAGGCGGCGGCGGCGGCAAUGUAAGCAAUAUUUGUGUUAUGCAACUCGCGUUUUAAUUAAAAAAAGUGGUGGUGGUGGAGGCGGCGCAGCAGGUGGUGGUGGCAAAAACAAAGCAGCUGCUCCGGCCGCAGACAAAGCUGGCGCCAAGAAGGGGCCAGAGCCCAAGGCAGGCGGCGGCGGCAAGAAGGGCGGCAAAAAAUAGGACAUCACAUUGCCAGGAAAGCGCAUUAAAUUAAAUAUUAGAAUAAAUAUGUAUGCAACUAUAUUUUUUAAGUUUAAAACGAGAUAUUAAACGCGAGAGUUUUUAA
rnacentral:misc_RNA from 1 species